rnacentral:rRNA from 1 species
UACGGGGGGUGCAAGCGUUAUUCGGAAUCACUGGGCGUAAAGCGCGCGCAGGCGGCCGUUUAAGUCAGAUGUGAAAGCCCGGGGCUCAACCCCGGAAGUGCAUUUGAUACUAUUCGGCUUGAGUAUGGGAGAGGGAAGUGGAAUUCCUGGUGUAGAGGUGAAAUUCGUAGAUAUCAGGAGGAACACCGGUGGCGAAGGCGACUUCCUGGACCAAUACUGACGCUGAGGCGCGAAGGCGUGGGGAGCAAACAGG